rnacentral:lncRNA from 1 species
AGGCUAGAAUCAAAUCUAGCUACAUCUAACGUUCACUCGCUCCCAGCCCCGCCCUGCGAAUCGGUCUCAGUACCUGGGUAAGCAACCAUACACCACAUUAGUCAGAUUAAGCAUACAAAUAACUAGAUACACAAAUUAAUUCAAGCGACUGGUUUUAAUUUGUAAAAUUUAAGAAAACAAGAAUUUAUCAAGACUUCAAAUUCGGAUCGGAUUGAAACUAUAAUUUUUCAAAGCAUUUCCCUUUCGACAUAUAAACAAAAUAAAUAUUGUCUCCGGCACUUAACUAUAUCUUAUGAUCCGUUGGCGAGAUCCAAAGACACCCGAAGGCGUAAACAAAACAGAGGCACCCGAAGGCGCAAACAAAACAAAGGCGCGGAUAGGCGCAGGCACCCGAAGGCGCAAACAAAACAGAGGCGCGGAUAGGCGCAGGCAUCCGGAGGCGCAAACAAAGACGAAGCUUGCUUCUAUAAUAAAGUACAUGUCGACAUGGCCAACAUUAGCAUAGUAGAAUACCAAGAGACAUUUUAAUUCAAAAUUAUCCAGUCACUAACUUACAGAACAGAUAAUCAACUUUCAAAAUUCUUUGUUAAAGAAAGCCUUUCCAUCACAUUUGAAACUCAGUUUGCAAAAAUAUUUGAUAUNCGGCGGCGACAAUAGGGAACGGAUGGCGUCGCGCGUGCACAAGGGGAGCGGCGGAGGUCGUACGGGCGUAGAGAGGAGAGGGGGAUCGAGCGAAAGAGAGAGAUGGAUCGGGUGGGGGGCUCGUAUCAAAAGAAAGGGCCUAAUUAGUUAGGGACUAAUUAAGCAACAAAAUGCCACCGAGUCCCUCGAAGAUCCGAAAUUACGAAAAAGUCCAAACUUAAAGUAAAUUGGAGUCAAAACAAAAAGUUAAAAGUGUGGGGUGUUACACAAGCUGAACCCCAACUCGUUCUCUCUUCUCCUGUCCUUAACUUGCUAGAGGAAAGGGAGCCUUUCCCUUUCCUCCUCCAAUCCUUCCUCUCUUUUCCUUUUUUCUCUAUAAACCCUCAUCCCCUUUAUAGCUUUUUCUCUAUUUCCUUCCCAAUCUUCUCCUCUCUUCUUCUCAUUCUUUUUUCCUCUUUUUCUUCUCUUUCUUCCACUACCAACCCUCUAUG